rnacentral:lncRNA from 1 species
GCACCGCAAGAUAAAAUCAAACCUGUUUGGUUAUCAAAUAUUGCGUGCGGUGCGGCGACGAUUAUGACGACGGGCAAUAUACCUACCUAAAAUAUUAUUAUUUUCAUAUAGUAUUUCAUUUGAAAUUCAUACACGGUACCGUCAUGGAGUCUCAUUUCAGAAGUUCGAAAAAGGCGUAUUUUAUGGGAUUAUUUUCAUAAAAUCAAAGUUGAUAGAGAUUGGGAAGCUGCAGAAAAGGAACUAUGUAUACCUAUUGCAUCCGUGUUUACGAUAUAAAUAAAGUAAGGACAUUUUUACCACACCGUAUAUUUUUGGAAAUCCGUACUUAUUUGAUCGGAUUUGUUUUUUUUUCGCAUCGCUUCGUCCAGAUUUAGUUAGGACACAGCAUUAACCGUCAAACAGUUAAUUUGAAUAUUUUUCAAAAUAACGAAAAUUUUGCGUAAUUUAAUAAUCACCGUUUCUUUAUUCUUUGCAAACACUUUCGGUUUCGAAAGUUCAAGGUAAUGUUGUACACAAGUCCAACGGUACCUAUUGAUGAUUUUGAUCAGCGUAAAUUUACAAUUCACAUAGUAACACGAUAAAAUAGAGGUGCAUUUUGUCGUUUGUAAUAACAUUACGUCUGUGAAUUUUCGGUUGAAAUUUUAACGAUUAUUUUAUUUCGUUUCGCGAGUGUGGGAGAUAGGGUGACUAGUGAGGGUGACGCUAACAAAAGACGUAGGGUGACGCUAACAAAAGAAAUAGGGUGCCGAACGGACUGUCGACGGCUGCAAGCUGUAGUGUAAUGCUGCACAGCUCGGGGCCUCGGGCUCGCCACGGAUGACGUACCUCGUAAACAAGCCGCGGUGUUCUCAUUGGCCAUUGGAUGUGCGCAUGUGUAUUACGCCACAAUUGGGAUUUAUAGGUUAUAAUUCAUGGGUGGUGCCUACAGCUUACAACACAAAGGGACCCUUUUACGAUCAAUACCUAUUUUAUUUGGUUACAUCACUCAUACGGUCUCACACACUCACACCACUCAUACCAUUGUUCGCUUUCCCAGUUCAUGUCAUUUAGAAUACGAAACGGUGAUGGUAAGACGUAGAUAUAGUCUCUCUGAGAGACUAUAUAAAUACUCUACUCUCUAGUGCUUUAAUACUAGAUUACAACUUAUCUACCCGCUACUACAAAUAUCUGUGCUACUUAGUAAGUAUGAGUGAGCUAUUAUUUAAUUUAAUUUAAUUAACUAUAGUAAUUAAUAUAUUACCAUGUUUUAUAAUAUCUAUUAUUACCAUGAUUUUAGGUAAAACACGCGAUUGAAAUUCAAACAGUAAAUAUUCAUCACAGACCAUAGUAUAAUCUUAUGACUCAUGGGAAAUUCAUGGAUUUCAGAUUUGUGGUUAACGUGCAUGAUUCUGCUCUGAUAUGCGGUCUUCAUAUAGGUAUAUAAAAUAUAUAAUAAUAAUAUAAUAUUAAAAAACCAACCUGGCAGUGUUAUAUUAUAUAAUAGAGCAUCGUGUAUAGGCACACUAAUGAAUAAUAAUUUACAAAAAUUAAAAUUUCAAACAAAACAAUUAAAUAGUAAAAUAAACAAAUAUAAAUUGGUUGCUAUUGUGUUUAGGACAAUUUACCAUAAUAUUAUUAUAUUGGAGUGCACUUGAAAGUAAAUAAUAUAUUCAAUUAGUUAAACUCAUAAAACAUUCCAUCCUUCUCUUACAUGUUAGUGAAAUAUAUUUA